AACCACAGCCAAGGGAACAGGCUUGACGGAAUCAGUGGGGAAAGAACACCCUGUUGAGCUUGACGCUAGUCUGG
rnacentral:miRNA from 1 species